UUGUGACAUAAUAAUGUGUAACCAAUAAGCUCAAUAUGACAAGGAUGGAGCCAUAUGAAAUUCCAAGAAAUAACUGAGGAAAAUGAGUCUGUGUAGCCUGAUUACAACUGUGAGAAAGUGUGUACCCUGAGGAAGAUUGGAGGGGCAUAAAGCCGAUUCAUUACAAUGCUGGCUAAUACCCACAGGAACACUGAACUCCACUGUGUGGGAGCUUGAGGGGCCUGUGCUGCCCAUGCCGAGUGUCCACCAUCUCACACUGCUUCUAACACCUUCAAGCCAUCUCCUGAAUCUGGAAUAGUCAUCAUGAGCUGGAGGCUUCCUCAGAAGAACCCUAAAAUCAAGGGGGAUUCUGGUGCCAAGAAAAAUAGCCCAACCCAGCUUCACAGCUGUGAGCCUCCAAUGCGCCCCAGGAAGCUGCCAUCACCAUGGGUAGCGCGACCUGGCUUGAUUUUGCCAAAACAAAGGAAAAUUCCUCCAGCAAUUUCUGUGAAUUUGUUUUGCAAAACUGAAUUGUCUGCUUUUAAUUCCCCUAUACCAAUUAAAUAAAAAUUGGAAUUUAAAAUCCAGUGAA
rnacentral:lncRNA from 1 species